UCACUGAAGUAUAAAAGUGGCGGAUCAUCUUUGACGUAAAUCAGUUCCGAGUUGAAAGUCAAUCAGAUUAAAUAUUAUGUACAAAUUAAUCGUUCUGUUUGCGGUGCUGGCGAUCAGCAGCCAAGUUCUGGCGAAACCGCAUCCUGGAAUGGUCGCAGGAUUGCACUCGUUGCAUCCCUCAGGAUAUCUUAGCUCCGGUGUGCAUGACGCAACUUUCUUGGACACACGAGGCGCUGAGUUCGAAGGGAUGGAAAUUGCAGCAGUCCGCGUGAGUCGAUCCGUGCAAGAUGCAUCAAGCAAAUCUUCGUCUUCCGACGAGUCGUCACCGAGCGUCGCAUCCCCCGAAUCGCCGGAAUCUGUCGAAUCCCGUCAGUCCUCUGCAUCCUCUGAAUCCUCUGAAUCGAGCGAGUCCCGUUAAUAAUGCAAGACAGACACUGUUUGCAAAUUCGCGAAUCAGGAGUACGAAAUAAUAAUUAGUUGCUGCCAUGAUCGAUAUAAGAGAAUUAAAAUGUGAG